rnacentral:rRNA from 1 species
CAGCCGCCGCGGUAACACCGGCGGCCCGAGUGGUGAUCGUGAUUAUUGGGUCUAAAGGGUCCGUAGCCGGUUUGGUCAGUCCUCCGGGAAAUCUGAUAGCUCAACUAUUAGGCUUUCGGGGGAUACUGCCAGACUUGGAACCGGGAGAGGUAAGAGGUACUACAGGGGUAGGAGUGAAAUCUUGUAAUCCCUGUGGGACCACCUGUGGCGAAGGCGUCUUACCAGAACGGGUUCGACGGUGAGGGACGAAAGCUGGGGGCACGAACCGGAUUAGAUACCCGGGUAGUCCCAGCCGUAAACGAUGCUCGCUAGGUGUCAGGCAUGGCGCGACCGUGUCUGGUGCCGCAGGGAAGCCGUGAAGCGAGCCACCUGGGAAGUACGGCCGCAAGGCUGAAACUUAAAGGAAUUGGCGGGGGAGCACAACAACGGGUGGAAGCCUGCGGUUUAAUUGGACUCAACGCCGGACAACUCACCGGGGGCGACAGCAAUAUGUAGGCCAAGCUGAAGACUUUGCCUGAAUCGCUGAGGGGUGGUGCAUGG